rnacentral:rRNA from 1 species
GCAGUCGAGCGGGGAAUGUAGCUUGCUACAUUACCUAGCGGCGGACGGGUGAGUAAUGCUUAGGAAUCUGCCUAUUAGUGGGGGACAACAUUCCGAAAGGAAUGCUAAUACCGCAUACGUCCUACGGGAGAAAGCAGGGGACCUUCGGGCCUUGCGCUAAUAGAUGAGCCUAAGUCGGAUUAGCUAGUUGGUGGGGUAAAGGCCUACCAAGGCGACGAUCUGUAGCGGGUCUGAGAGGAUGAUCCGCCACACUGGGACUGAGACACGGCCCAGACUCCUACGGGAGGCAGCAGUGGGGAAUAUUGGACAAUGGGGGGAACCCUGAUCCAGCCAUGCCGCGUGUGUGAAGAAGGCCUUUUGGUUGUAAAGCACUUUAAGCGAGGAGGAGGCUACUAGUAUUAAUACUACUGGAUAGUGGACGUUACUCGCAGAAUAAGCACCGGCUAACUCUGUGCCAGCAGCCGCGGUAAUACAGAGGGUGCGAGCGUUAAUCGGAUUUACUGGGCGUAAAGCGUGCGUAGGCGGCUGAUUAAGUCGGAUGUGAAAUCCCUGAGCUUAACUUAGGAAUUGCAUUCGAUACUGGUCAGCUAGAGUAUGGGAGAGGAUGGUAGAAUUCCAGGUGUAGCGGUGAAAUGCGUAGAGAUCUGGAGG